CGCCUUUGGAGUAAGAUCAAAAGGUUGGGCCUGCCCGGUGACAUGAGUGUUAAACGGCUGCAGUACUCUGACUGUGCAAAGGUAGCAAAAUCAAUUGUUCAUUAAUUGUGGACUGGAAUCAAUGGUUUGACGAUAAAAAAGCUGUCUUUUUUUACUGUUUUUCUAAAUUAACAAAAAAGUGAAGAGGCUUUUAUGACAUAGCGGGACGAGAAGACCCCGUUGAGCUUUAGGAAGUUGAGUUUGAGAAAAACACAGCUAAUUUGAGUUGGGGCAACUAUUUUUAUGUUAUAAAACAAAAAUAAUAAUAACAAUGAGUUAAAUCUUUUAUGAUCCUUAAGGUUAAGAUUAUUAGAGCAAGUUACCACGGGGAUAACAGCGUAAUUUUUUUUGAGAGUUCUUAUUGACAAAAAAGUUUGCGACCUCGAUGUUGGAUCACAGCAACCUGGGGGUGCAGCAGCUCCCAAGGGUUGGUUUGUUCAACCAUUAAAGCUGUUUCAACCAUUAAAGCUGU
rnacentral:rRNA from 1 species